rnacentral:rRNA from 1 species
AUACGGAGGAUGCAAGCGUUAUCCGGAUUUAUUGGGUUUAAAGGGUGCGUAGGUGGAAAGUUAAGUCAGUAAUGAAAUCCUGCAGCUUAACUGCAGACCUGUUAUUGAUACUGGUUUUCUUGAAUACAGUUGAGGUAGGCGGAAUGUGUAAUGUAGCGGUGAAAUGCUUAGAUAUUACACAGAACACCGAUUGCGAAGGCAGCUUACUAAACUGUGAUUGACGCUGAGGCACGAAAGCGUGGGUAGCAAACAGGAUUAGAUACCCUGGUAGUCCACGCUGUAAACGAUGAUCACUCGCUGCUGGCGAUAUAUUGUCAGCGGCUAAGCGAAAGCAUUAAGUGAUCCACCUGGGGAGUACGGUCGCAAGAUUGAA